rnacentral:rRNA from 1 species
AGUGAACGCUGGCGGUAGGCCUAACACAUGCAAGUCGAACGGCAGCACAGUAAGAGCUUGCUCUUACGGGUGGCGAGUGGCGGACGGGUGAGGAAUACAUCGGAAUCUACUUUUUCGUGGGGGAUAACGUAGGGAAACUUACGCUAAUACCGCAUACGACCUACGGGUGAAAGCAGGGGAUCUUCGGACCUUGCGCGAUUGAAUGAGCCGAUUCCGGAUUAGCUAGUUGGCGGGGUAAAGGCCCACCAAGGGGACGAUCCGUAGCUGGUCUGAGAGGAUGAUCAGCCACACUGGAACUGAGACACGGUCCAGACUCCUACGGGAGGCAGCAGUGGGGAAUAUUGGACAAUGGGCGCAAGCCUGAUCCAGACAUACCGCGUGGGUGAAGAAGGCCUUCGGGUUGUAAAGCCCUUUUGUUGGGAAAGAAAAGCAGCAGGUUAAUACCCCGCUGUUCUGACGGUACCCAAAGAACAAGCACCGGCUAACUUCGUG